ACGGCAAGGUUAAAGAACGUUUAGCCAUCUUUUCCGUCGAAGACAAAGACUCAUCAUGACUCAGCAAAAAAAGACAAAUCACUUACAUAUGUCAUAGUGUGAAGCUCCUGCACGCUCAGAAGAAGUAAGCGCUGUCCGUUACCAGUUGAUAAUUUGCCGCUUGGUAUGCUAAUGGUGGACCAGUGGCGGACCACAAGCGGAUCAGAACUGAUGAAUUGUGUCAGCACUGACUCCCUGGUGACCACCAAGAAGCAAAUAAAGACCUGGCAUCCCAUCAUAUUCCCCUGUCUGGCUAAUCUUUUUAUUACGGCAGCGAUGUGUGUGCAAGGCAUCAAAGGGAACGCCUAGAAAGCUUUAGAGAUGGAGCCCGUAUCAAACCCGCCUCCUGCUGCACCUUUCCACAGUCUACUUCCUGCUCAUGCUGACGUCUCGCGACCAACGUCCCAACGUCACAUGCCCACCCUGCUGAGACCUGCGGAAGCCACCGGGUCGGCCGUGUGACAGUAAAGCCAUGGGUACACAAGGCUACUACAUGACCAGAUCACGACCCUCGCGAGCACCACGCCUGAGCGACUAGUGGACCCAUGCAGUGCUGCAAAGUGCACUCUGGGCGUGUCACCGCACAGAAGAACCUUCAUGAUGCGGCUCUACCAGGAAGUCUCUGCGUUGGAUUGGACCAAAGUCAAAUAUGGAAUGAAAUAGUCCAAAGUAGCUGUCCGUAAGGCUGGGCGAUAUUGCCUUUUUUUAAUACCACGAUAUUCUGUAUAUUUCUCAGUAUUUUGCCUUAGCCUUGAAUGAACACUGUAUACAUAUAAUCACAGCAGUAUGGUGAUUCUAUGUGUCUACAUUAAAACAUUCUUGUUCAUACUGCACUAAUAUAUGCUGCUUUUAAACUUUCAAGCAGAGAAGGGAAUCACAACUAAGUCAAUUUACCAAAAAUUUAUUAAUUAAAGUUAUUAGCAGGUGACUUUUCAAAGGAUGCUACAUAUUAGCAGUAAUGCUACUUUUGGUAGCAACGCUUGUGCCCCACCACAUGACAAAUUAAAGUUAUCUAUUCGACAUAUUCCCCCCUGAAGCCGAACAACCGCCAGACGUUUUUCUUGAGAAUGAAUUUUUCCUUCAUUUGUUACGAGAUUCGCACCUUCUUUCUCUCGCAACAACCCGCUAGCAUCACAGCUAACGUUAGCCACGCCGCUACCUCUCUGCUGGGCGAGGGCGUAUACGUAUGUGACGCAUGACGUGACAGUAUGUGACAUAUGUAAAAAAUGUGCGCCUGCUUGUCUGUGAGAAGGAGACACAGGAAAGAGCAAGGACAGCCUGUAGUGUAAUGCCCGCAGCUAAAAACAACUGCAUGAGAACGUCUACUCGAAUAUUACGAUAUAGUCAUUUUUUAUAUCGCACAGAGACAAACCCGCGAUAUAUCGCGUAGAUCAAUAUAUCGCCCAGCCCUAACUUCCCGUGUACGGCGUGUCAAUCAAAUAAAUAAAUUCAAUAGAAGCAACAAUGCUCAACCGCCACCCGCCACCCGCCCCAUUCACU